rnacentral:lncRNA from 1 species
UUUUUUUUUUUUUUUUUUUUAUGGAAUGCCUGCAUGUUUUUUGGACUAGAGUAAUCGGCCCUAGUAUGUUGAAUGGCCCAAAAUCAUUGUGUCGUUUAUAUUUUACCCAAAUAAAAAAUCUAAUUUUGUAAUUUAACCCCUAAUUUUUAAGUAAUUUUAUUAUGACCCAAAUUUUAUAUUUAUUUCAUUUAGGUCCUUAAUUUAAUUGCAUUUUGUAUUCAAAACUUUAUCUUUAUUAAAUUUUGAUCCCUAAUUUUUGUAAAAUUAAAUUUUGGCCCCAAAAACUUUCUAAUUUUUCAAUUUGAUCCCUAAUGGUUUUUUUUUUCCUUAAUUAUAAUUGUUUCCUUCCUUUAGCUGUUAAUUAUGCUUCUCUUGCUUGCAUUUAAAUUAUAAUUUUUGAGUGUUUUGAAUUUAUUUACAUUUUAACAUAAUAAUGUGAAUCUAGUACAUUUUUUUAAAUACUUUCAAUUAAAUUGGUGUCGUAAUCCUUUUGUUGAUUUUGAAUAUACAUAGGGCAACCUUAGCUCAUUUAGUCACCAUUUUGAAAGGGAGGUACCUCUACUAUCUUUUGGAUUCUAAUUACAUGAUCUUAUAUGCUUCUAUGUGCUUGCAUGUAUUUAUAUAUUUAUUUAUUUAUUUUAAAUUUCUAUUCAAUUUUUAUGUGCGUUUGAUCUAAAUUUUGUAAUUAUUUGGAUGAUAUUUAUAUAUCUCAAGAUGUAAUAGAUAGGUAAUAUUUUUGCAAAAAGUUGUAAUUAGAUAGGCUAAUGUAAUAGAUAGGAUAGAUAGAUUUAUUUUAUUAUAUUUUUUAUUUUAGAUUGUAAUUAGAUUCCUCAUUGUAAUAGAUAGGAUAGAUAAGUUCAUUUUAUUAUAUUUUUCAUUUUAGAUUGUCAUUAGGUCCCCCAUUGUAAUAGAUAGGUUUUGUGUGUUUAUGUAUCUUACGUGCUUACGUGUUUUAACUGCUUUUCUUUGAAUUUUAUAUCUAGAUAUUAUGUUUAUAUUUUGUGUGUUCUAUGUGAUCUUAUAUGUUUACUUGUUUUAAUUCAUGUUUUAUUUGUUUUACUAUGUAUUAUAAACACACAACAUCCCCACUCUAGUUAACGCUAGUUGUGGCCCUUGCUCACUUCCUUGCUAAUCCAACACUAGUAAGGAUCUUUAGAAAUAUGUUAGUUCAACGCUGGACCCUUAGGUUAUCCACGUGUUAGAUUUAUCUCUUGUGUGUCGUUCAUUGCAUUUUCACUCAUUUUUCCUAUUUAGGCAACUUUUCUCAUUUACAUGAUAUGUCCUCCUAUAUUGUCCCUUUAUCCUUGUAUGCUUGAGGCAUAUCAUCUAGAUUUACAUUUUAUUUAGAAAAUUAGACAAAUAAGUUAGUUCUUUUGCUUGCUUAUGUAGAAGAGUCACUUCUAGAAUCUGAAAAAUGGACAAUUAUAGCUUUCUAACUUAAAUACUCCAUUAAUCCCCCUAUUAGAAAGAAAAUUAUAUCAUGAGUUUUUGUUUCUCGUACUCAUUAUGUUGCAUUCUCUUUUCUUUGGCCACUUGUAUUUAUAUAUAUAAUUUAAUUUUCUUUUUUUAGUCUUAUCCUUACAUACUCAUUACCCCUUCAAGGAAUUAUUUUGAACUUUGCAAUUAAUGCGAUUGGUACUAAUUUGAUCUUGAAUGGACAUUACGCCUCCUUUCUAUACUUUUUUCAAAUUUAGGUUUGUAUCCAUGUAAAAAUAUCCAAAGGUGAUAAGUUUAAAUGUUAGAUUAGGAAAAUUUUGACUAAAUCUCGCAACUAACUUAGACUAGAUUGAAAGGGUACCUUAGGUUUGAGCCGAUUGAUUUUUGCCUUCCCUUUCUUUAACCGUGACUCCCAAACUCAUUUUUCCUCAUUUCAAAAAUCUAGAGGUUGUCGAAAAGGGUUUUAUUUUAUUUUGUUUUAUUUUAAUUUUUUGUUAAAAUAUCUUUGGGUGACUUAGUACACCUAAAUUUGAUACCAAGUGGUGACUUCCUUUUUUUUCUGAAACCCUUUUAGACUAAAUUUUUGACCCAAACUGUUGCAUCUUUCUAGUCUCAUUUUAGGCCCUUUUUCAUUCAUUUUUUAAUUGAAAAACACAUUUUUUGCAAAAUCUUUUUUAUCCCAAAAAAUGGGACGUGAUAGGAUUUUGCAAGGACGCAAAGUUCUAAAGUUAGAGAGAAUAAAGUAUCCUACAUUAGAAGUGGUAAGAGAAAAUGAAUGGUUUAUGAACUUGGGUCAUUUGGCCAAUGAGUAAUUUGGGUGGGAACCUCCAAAGUCUAGAAGGAACUAGGAGUAUAAGAACAACCAAGUGGACAGUUUGGAUUUUGAUGAAUUUUGCAAGGAUACAAAGUUCUAAAGAUGGAGAGAAUAAAGUAUCUCACAUCGGGAGUGGUAAGAGGAAAUGAAUGUUUUAUAAGUUUGGGUCCUUUGGCUAUUGAGUAAUUUGGUUAUCUGGGCUAGCUCUUGGACCCGAAUCGUGAUAGUGUGUGCUGUGUGUGUAUAUAUGUAUAUACAUAUACAAAAUACACACACAUACACAUAUCGAUAUGGUUCUUUGACAAAUACAAAGAACAACAUCAUUAAAAAAAUGAAGGAACAAUCAAUAGUAAGGAUAUCCAGGGAAUCUAUGAGCAAAACAACUACACCAACAAAUAUCUCCAAACACUUGGAGAAUAUCUUUUAACCCAACCUAUUCCCAAAAUACUUACUAUAACCACUUCUUCAUCAAACCCAACACAUAUAUUCUGUAUGUGUGUGUGUAAAUGGGCAGUCUUGGAGGAUUCAAACUCUAUUUUUGACUAGUUAAUUUAUUCUGAUAAGCACAAGACUACAUACUCAAACAGAUAUAUGUACACACACAUAUACAUACAUACACACAUACAUAUACAUAUAUAUCUGUGUGUGUAUUUGCAUGUGUAUAUGUGUAUAUAUAGAUAUAAUGUUCCUAGAAUAAUAUUGUUUGUAAUGCCUUUAGCCAAAAGAAAAGUUUCUUUGAUCGAGACUAAUGAAAAUUGAAUUUUCACGUUUGAAAGUUGGAAAUGGAUAUCUAAUUUUGAGCCAUUUGUAUUUUGGAGUCCAUCCUUAGUUUGUUCAAAGAACUUAGUGGGAAUAAGUCCUUCGUGGAUGCAACUAAAGUCAGCUCCAGUAUCAAAGAGGACUUCUAUUUCGAGGAUAUAAUCAUCAUAGAUAAUUAGUUUGAUUUGGACUAGGAAUUUUUUGUCAAAAAUUCUGGACAAUUGGUUUAGGAAUUCUAUAUCAUCUUGUGUGAUUGAGUUUUCUUGUAUGGUUUCAAACGUUUUUGGUUGUCAGGUAGCAAGGAUUGUACGGCAAGGCUAUCUAAUUCUUAUUUUGCUUUAAUUGCUCUAAUUUCAUCUUUAAGAAGAACAAUUUCAAGCUAAAAGUCUUGGAUUGAUAUUGGUUUUGUUGGCUUGGAUGGGAAUCGGUUAAGGAUGUCUGUAAGGUUAUAGGUAUUAAGAAGUUUGGGGUCUCUGGCUAAUGGGUAUAAGGAAAUAUUUGAAAGAAUACUUGGUGGUCUGUUUAGGGAUUCUUUGAAUUUGUUGAGAUAAAACUUUCUCUUUUCAAGGUCAAGAAUGGUUUCUAUGAAGAUGAGAAGAAGGUCAUGUUCCUUUGUCAAGGCAUUUACAAUUGCAUUUCCUUUUUUUUUUUUUUAUCUUCAUCACUAUUGGUAGUAGACAAAGAUGAAACAUCAUCAUCCUCAAGUUCAUUUUCAUAAUUUUGUUUUUCACGUUCUAAAUCAUCAUUGUUGGCUUCUGUAAGGAAGUUGGAUAAUUGGUUCAGUACUUGUUCAUCAAAAGACCAAGGGUGCUGAUUCUUUUGUGUAUUUUGUAAUAUUUGGCUAUAUGUCCAUGUUGUUUGCAACUAUGGUAGACAAUUGCUGGUAAGGCUAGUGAGUUUUGGAUAGGAGUUGGAUAUGGAUUUUCUGGGAAAUGUAAUGGUUUUCUAGGCUUAUAAGGUAGUGGUUUCCUUUUUUGUUGAGAAGGUUUUUGAUAAAGGUUUAGGUUUUCUUCUGGUUUUUGUAUGAUAGUUGGGUAGGCCAAACUAUUCACAAAAAGAACCAAGAUCUUUUGUUCUUUGUGCUUAAUCUUUUGCAAACUAUCUGAACAUCUUGUCUUGCCUGUAAAUUUUUAGAGCAACUUGUUGGACUUGGCUGGUUAGUUGUCCAUAGGUAAUUGUUUCCUAUGGUACAAUACCAUCAUAUCGGUUUCGUAUUUCUUCUCAAACAAGGUCUCUUAAUGAUUUGGGAAGGCUGUCUAAUAACUUUUCUUUCCAAUAUGCUUGACUACAAUUUGAUCUUGAGUAUAUACGAGUCAGGAAAGUAUAUUUGUACCAUCUAAAAUUGAAAAGAUUCCUACAUUUAAGAUUGUUUAGUAGUUCUGAGGACUUGUCUCUGAAUAUCCCUAGAUCACCAAUGAAUGUUUUUGCGAUUGUGAAUAUUAGGGUUGCUAUUGUAUCUGAGAUAGUUUCACCAUCCUAUAGGAUUGGUUCUCCAUCUGCAUCUAAUUUGAUUGCAUUUACAAUUUUCUCUUUGUCUUCUAAGGUAAGAUGUUCAUCCUACCAUUCUUUUGAACUGUCCUAUAAAUCCCAUAAUGAGGACAUGAGUUGCAAGCUGGUCAGUACAUCAAUGAUUUGUUCAAUAAGAUAUGGGUACCAUGGUUAUUUACUAGAGGAUUGUAAUUAUAUCAUAUUCAGAAACUCUAUCUAUGCUCCAUUUGUAGAUAUUUUUUGCAUUGCAAGAGUUUUGGAGGAUGUUUGGUUUUUUCUUCAAUAAGGUCAUCUGGGUAAGUUGCCUUAGAGUAAUAGGGUUUUUGGGAAUUUUUCCAAUUCAAAGUUGGAUUAUAGGAUGGUCUGGGUAUGCUAAGUUUGGCUAUUUAAUUAGAAGAAGAGGCUACGGAUUCUAGAGCAAGUUCAUUUAGAACACAAUUUGUUUGUUUAGGAGGUUGAUUAACGAAUGUAGGAAAUUCUAGUGAUGGUUCAUCUAUAAUGCAGGUCAAUUGUUUGGUAGGACGAGCUGAUACAGGAUUGAUCCGUGUAAGGGAUUCUAAUUUAGAGUUUUCUAAAGUAUAGGUUGACUAUUUGGUGGGUUAAUUAACAGAGGUCGAGCCUUGUUCGGGUGAAUUUUGUUUGUUUAUGGGAGUGACAAAAGAUUGGUCAAUCUUGACUAUUCUUUUUUUGAGUUCAUCAUGGAUUUGUUUUGGAGUUCUUUGUGAAAUUUGUUUGGUAUUUCAUGGGGUCUAAAUAAGGGCUUAGAAGAGGAAGUGGUUGUGUGUGAAGAGACUUUUGAUCUAGUAAGAAGGUAUUCUCCUAGGGUUUGUAGAUACUUGUUGGUAUAGUUAUUUUGCUCAUAAAGUCCCUAUAUAUCUUUUGCAUCUACUAGACUUCCUUCUCAGGCAAUUUUUAGUUUAAAAGGCUUGCCACUAAUUUCUAUGGAUUUGUAUGAGAAGGUAAUAGACUUUGAUGCUCGGAUUUCCCUUUUUGAUAUUUGUCAUUUCUUUGAAACAUAAACUGAUAACAAGAAUGUGUACUCUAUUUCAUUCCUUAGAGCAUAGAUCUCAAACCAUUUAAAGAAUUGAAUGUGUUGUUUUCUUCUUCCACAGAAACUGUAGAAAGCUUCUUGGAUCACCUUUCUUGGUUCUCUUGUCCAAGAAUCAUUGUCUCUUGGCUUGAUUGUGUUCUGCAUAGAAUUCUUUUCUAAAACUCCUUGUCGAUCUGGUAUUCAGAAGUAAGAACUCUUAUUUCUAGCUAUGGAUUGUUCGUCAUGAUUGAAUGUGUAGGAGAUAUGGGGAGAUCUCCUUGUACUGUUAUUUCUUUAGAGGAUUCUCUUUGAUCUCCCCAAGCAGCUUCUGUUUGGACUGUAUAUUUUGUUUGAUAGAUCUUGGUUGUGUUAUUUGGUAGAGAUGAAAGAAGUUGAACGUCUUCUAAUGUCUGGAAUACCCAUACUGGUAUUGGUUGAGGAAGAUACCCUAAAGCUUCUUGAUUUGUCAAACUUGAUUUGAACUGUCCCAAUAGGGAGUUGGUUGAUACUCAAAACUGUUGUAUUUUGGGGUAGUACAUUGGGAACUAUCUUCGACAACAUCCAGUUUUCUGGAUCGGAUAUUUCAUCCCAGGUGACUAUUCUAAGCAUAGAUAUCCUAAAUCUGGUUGGAUCUAUUUAGAAAAGAAUUCUUUCUCUUUUUUGUUUGAUUUCAAAGUUCUAGUGCUGAAUGCCGAGCUUAUCACCUUGUAUUGUUUCUUGUACAUGAAAGCAACAGGAAGAAUUCCAUUUUUUGUUUUAUAGUUAGUUGUUUUUAUGUUGAAAGUUAAUGCACCCAAAAUAUUUCUAUCUUGAAGAGAUGUUUUGAAGUUUGGAAAGCAGUCGAAGUAGACUAGUCCUCUACAUAGGCUUGUUUUAGCCAUUCCAAGCAUGGAGCCAUUGAAAUUUAGAAAUCUGCGGUCUCGUAGAUGAAGAAGUAUAGAUGUGUCGAGUCCUUCCCUUGUCAACGGUUUAGCUGUAAUUUGUACAAGUCCAAAAUGGAUGUAGUUGUAUUUUUAUUAAUGUCAUUCAACGGCUCUCUCUGAUAAAAGUUUGAUUUUUUCAUGGUCAGCAUUUAGAGUAAUAGUUUGUUCAACUGUUUUAAUUGUAUAAUUGGAUGAGAUUUUCCAUGUUUACUAUUUUGAUAUAUUUCAUGUUCUUGAUACUUAGAAAAUUUUCAAUUAUCUAUAUCUUGAUUAAUAUCUUGUAUGUUUAUUUCUUUCUUUAAUGAGUGUUUAAAGAAGAAAAAUUUGAAUAAAUAGAUAUUUUAGAACUAGAUCUAAAGAAACAAGCUAUUAAAACAAGUAAAUAAUAGAAUUAAGGAAGUAGAUAAACAGAAAAUAUUAAAACAAAAUAUAGAUAUGUAGGAUCUCCCUUCCCCUUGGUACAGAUCCUUUGGGAUCCAUGAGGGAUAAAUAUAUCACUUAAACAAAUUAUGAUAUAUAUAAUAUGGAUCUAUAUGAUCAGAUCUGAAUUUUAGUGCAGUUCACCGUCUUGGGUACUAUCAUUCUCCAAGGACCUUCUUAGACCUACAGAUCUUAAUGCCAGAUCACAUGGUCUUACUAUCAGGAUUGUUCUCAAAGGCUAUUAAAGCUUGUUGUUUCUCUGCUAGAUUUGAGUUCAUAGAUUCAUACUAACAGUAUCAUAACAAAUUAAGAAACAUACUUAUCAUCCCACUUCUCACUCUAGCUUUGAUACUAGAGUGGGGCGAGGGACUGUCCCUAGAUACAAAAAAGGAUCUAAAAGUAGAGGAAGAAAGUGGGUUGUUGAUGGAUUUCCACUGAGAAGUUCAGGCAGUUGAACCAGCCAUUAAUCAAUAUAAUAACAAAUAAGUAAAAAAAGUAAAGAACAUGAGUAUGCAGGCGGCUUAGUUGACCAUUCACAAGAUAAUAUAUAUUUGAGUGAAAUUUAUUGAAGUAGUUUAGAGGAUUACAAGAUUGAGAAAAGUUUGAUCUACACUUGAUCCCAAGUUAUAACCUAAACUAGUUUGUAUUCCAAAUAAGAGGAGGAGGAUUUUUUCAACUUAGAGGGAGAAGUGAGUUAGAGAAAAUGGUGUGUUUGAGAGAUAUUUAUAGGAAAAUUUUCAUUUUGAUACAAUACCCAUUAUAGUAUACCAGUGCACUACAAUGUUGCUAUAGUGACGCUUUAGUGUAUAGUGCAGUUUCUCUUGCCAUGUUCACAAAGCAACUUGAUGGAUUGCUAUAAUAUUUUUUGGUGCUGCAGUGAAUUCUAACAUUGUUUAUUUUUGUAAAAUUUAUGAAAUUUGUGAGAAAAUCCCUUAAUAGUCAUCGUCAUUUUGUUGUAGUCCAUCAAAACAUUCUUCUAACCUUAAGGACUUUGGUUCUUGUUUAAGUACUUGUCAUUUUCAUUCUGAUUGUAGUUGGGAGAGGAUAUGUUUGAGUUGUUGGACAUGUUUUUCUUUAUCCAUUAUUGAGGCUAGUUUUACUGAUGUUUUAGACUUCUGCUGCCUUGUUUGCGGAUCUUUGGGUUUGAUUGAUUUUGGAUUCUUCUAGAACCAUACUCGAAUGUUUGCUAUUGUAUAAAGUACUGUGAAUGUCAAUAUAUUGUAUACCCCUGUCGGACAAGGAGUGGAGGAAAUUGGGCUUGUUUGAGAAAUCCAUACUUCCACUAAUAUAUACAUACUACUACAAAGAUUGAAAAGUAGUGUAGACUAAUGGGAAUAUAACUCUUUGGUUGUUCCAAUCUUUGUUCAAAUAGUUGGUAUCCUUCUUUUACAUCUGGUGCGAGAACCUGCAAGUUUGGUACAUGCACAUUCCACUAGGUUACAAAUCAAGUAGGAAAAUUGUACUUGUUUUUUUUUUUAUAAAAUAGAACAGUUAUGAAUGUUGGUUUAAUUUAUUUUGGAUAGAAAAAGGAAUGGAACCAUGCUACCUUAUAAUCCCAAUAAGUAUACUUAGGAGGAUUGAAAGGAAUCAUGAAUGACUUUGGUCAGCUUAGAUUAAUUCCCUAUUUAGACGGUCUAAUUACUUUGAGGAUUUGUGCACAAGAAUGAGUAUUGAUUACUUUUCCUGUGGGGUUGUCAUUCUUGUUUAUCAAUUCUCUAUCAUGAGGUUUGAAGAUUACAAAUUGGGAAUUUAUCAAAAUAAUUUUGUAGUAUUCUAGGUUUUGGUUAGUGUUUGAGGUAUAAAAUGAUGGUUUGGAGGGAUUAUAGAUUUGGAAAAUUCAUUUGGAUCAUUUUGUAUGAGGUUUGGCUCAAUUUGAAUAAGGGUAAUGAUUGAAUUUGUUUUAAAGUAGUUGCUUGGGAUAGUUGGUUUAUAUGAUUUUUGUUGGGUCAAUUGUUUUUCUGUGUUUGAAGGCGGGAUUGUUUCUAGUAACUUGGACUGAGAAUAUCCUACAGCUAAAGCCCAUUGUUUAAGGUUCAAAUAAGAGGGUGCUUUUGUUUCCUCUUCUUCAACCAUAUCAGUCCAUGGUUUUGAUGAAAGGAAGGAUAGAGGUUGUAUUGAGGCUAUUGGUUUUUUUUUUUUUUUUUCCAGAAACGAUAAUUGAUUAUAUUAGCUUGUGUAAGAAAUAUACACUUAAUGAGCAAAGGCUCAAUGUGAACUAUACAAGUGUCUGCGUCACUAAGGAUUUAACCAUUUCUCAUCAAAAAAAUAUGCUUAGCGCAUAACGAUUGAGAUUACUUAUGCUAUUCCUAAUUUCCUCAUAAGAAAUAUUACUUAUGCUAUUGAGGCUAUUAGUUGGAAUGGGUUUGGAUCAAUUGAAAAUAUUUCAAUCAUGAGUUGUUUUCUUGCUUUUUUGGAUAUUUAAAAUGAAUUUGAAAGACUUAAUGAGUUUGGGUCAGGAUUAGUGGGUUUGUCAAGCAAUGUUCCUUGGGCCUCUUAGGCCUGCUACUGUUAUUUCUUCUUUCUAGCCAUUAUCUUCCCUAUAGGAAUUCAUGAGUUAGAUAAUCAGGAAGAAAGUUUGAAGACACUUUAAUAUAUUCAAUUUCAAAAUAAAAAGCUGAUAAAAUCGCUUGCCAUCUAGAAUAAGUUUGUUUUGAGGCAAGGCUUUUAACGUCUUUUACUAAAACAUGUUUGCUAAUUUACAGUCUAUUCUUAAUAAAAACUUUUGGUUUACUAAUUCUAUUUGGAAUUUUGAGACACAUAAAACAAUGGUUAAAACUUCCUUUUUAAUAGUAGAAUAAUUUUGUUGAGAAUUCCAAUGUUUAGAGAUAAAGGCAAUAAUUUGUUCUUUGCCACCUUUAAAUUGUUUUAAUAUGUCACCAUAAACUAUGUCUGAGGCAUCUGUUUCUAUUAUUUUGGAGGUUGUAGGAUUAGGGAGAGAAAGAUGGAAUGGAUUUGAUUUGGGUUUUGAUUUGGCAGACUAUGUUAGUAUGUUUGUCUGUCCACGAGGGAGGUGAUAAUUUUCAUUCUAUCAAACGAAGAUUUGGCUAAGUUACUAAGGUUUGGGACAAAAUCAACAAUGUAAUUGAGACAUCCUAGGAACCUUUGAAAUUGCUAUUUUUCAAAGAUUUGAUAUGGGAAUUUGUCAGCAAAUUGGAUAGAUCUUUCUAUAGGGAUGAUUAUUCCUUAGUAAAUUAAGUGUCUAAGGAAUCGAAUUUUUGUUUGAAAGAGGCUAAUCUUUUUUUGGGAGAUAACCAAACCAUUUUUUUGGGAAAUAUGGAGGAAAGUGUUAAGGUGUUUGAGAUGUUAGUCUAUGUUUUCAGAAAAAAACUAGGACAUCAUCUAUGUAAACCAUGAUGAAGGUGGAAUAGAGGUUGAAGAUAUCGUGCGUGAUUCUCUAGAACUCAUAAGGGUCAUUUUUUAGACCAAAAGGUAAGACAUUCCAUUUGUAGUGUCUGAAAGGCACUAUGAAUGCUGUUUUGCAUAUGUUUAAAGGAUGAAUCUCGAUUUGCCAAAAUCCUGACUUCAUGUCAAAUUUUGAAAAUAUCUUUGCCGAAUGAAGUCAUUGAAGUAGAUCCUUUUUGUUUGGGAUUAGAUAUCUGAUCCAUCGAAGGGCGUUGUUCAAGGCCUUGUAAUUGAUCACAAGGCGUGGAACUACUCAUUCAAUUUAUGGUUUCUUGUUGACAUAAAAUGCUGGACAACUCCAAGGAGAUUGGCUCAAACUAAUGAUCUUUUUUAGCAAUAGAUCACUUAUCUCCUGCUAGCAAUGUUUGAGAAACUCUUGGUUCAUUUGUAUAGGUCUUGCCUUUUUUGGUAUUUCCUUAUCAUUGAAGUCAGGCUCAUAGGAAAGAUGAAUUGUGUGUUGUUUUCUUUUCUAGAAAGUAGUUGGUAUUUCAGCACACAUUUGCUUUUGGAUUUUGGACUUUGAGUUUUUUUAUUCUUUCUUGGACUUCAGGUUGUUGCAGUUGUUCUUCUAUUCUUCUGAAAACAAUUUCUUCUUUCAAAAAGUUGAUUUGAUUUUCUUUGAGAAUCAAAGAAUUAAGUGACUUAUGUGUUAGAUUCUUAAUCCAACAUUGGACUUAUAUGUGAAUAAUUAUAUGUUGCAAACUGUCAAUUAAGGUUAAACCCAAUUAAACUGAUCAAAUAUAGUUUGGGUUUAAUAUAUCUAAUAGGGUGUGGGCUUUUAAUGUGUAGAGACUUAAGGGCUCCUAUUUUUAUAAUAGGCUGAAAUAGGGUUCCAAAGGGUAACAGAAAUAUUACCUAUAAAUAGGGUCAUGGUCCUCAGGUCACACAUAUUCUUAUUUGUCAUAUUUUCUAAUACCACAAUAUAUAGCUCUUCUCUGAUAUCACAUCGUCAAGAAAGAUACCAGAGAGUUACUAAAGGGUUCUCUCAAGGAUCGGCAAAUACGUAUAGACCUGGAAGGCCACCCCAAUAUCUUUGAAAAUUCAUAUAUCAGUUUGUCAAUAUGAAUCCAGGUACGCUUCCGUUAUUUUACUGUUAAUUUAUUUUUUAAUAAUCGCCAUAUAGAUUUUGAAUUUAAUAGGUGGUUUUCACCAAUGGUUAAAUUUAGAUAACCACCCUAACAAGUAGUAUCAGAACUAGAUAUAGUUGAUUAUUAGGAAAUAAUUUGGUUUUAGUAAUUCAUAGCUUUUUAUUAAAAAAAACUAUGAUUAAUUUAGUUUUUCAUUUGCACGGCUGAAAGUUUUUGUUCCAUGGUUGCGGUCAUUUUCAUGAUUUGGCUUUAUGUUUCAGUUUCAUGUUUUGGCUUUAUAAUCCGUAAAAGAAUUGCAAUCACUUUUAGUUUUGUUGCAUGGCCAAUGAAUCAAGACUACUUGUUUGCUAAAGUCAUUCACGUGCUUCAUUAAUGAUUAUCGUGUGAAUCUGUGAACAACACGAAUCAAGUUCCAGCGUUGCGUCUCUGUCUCUAUGCUCACAAUGUUGAUUGCUUAGAUGUCAAUUCGUGACGUUGAUUGACGUGAAUUGUGUCAUUAUGCCUUCGGUUAGGUCCCACAAUAGUCAAACCUUGGUUGUUGGCUUUGAUCUUUUUCACUUGACUGAUUCAUUGUUUAUUGCACAGAUUCAUUAUUUUUAGUUAGUGAAUUCAUUGUUAUGCAAAUUGAUUUUUAAUAUAUUUAUGCUAAGAAUAUUAGGGUUUCCUUAAUUUAAGUGAACCCUAAGAAAAUUAAAUAAAACAUUUAAGUCCAAUAAAAUUCAUAUGUUUAGCCCACUAAAUGUAUAGGUUUAUAAGACAUUAUGGAUUUCAAGAAAAUUUUAGACUUGGAUAAUUAAUUGGGUCAAAUUAUGUAUAUGGACCUUUGGUUCAAUAAGUCUUGAUCUAAUUGACUGGUUUGACCAGAUUUGACUGGAUUGGCCAAGUUUGAUCAUGUUUUGAUCAUAAUUGACCAAAGUUGACUUUGAUCAAAAUUUUUGGUUAAUUUGUAUAAUUUUAAAAUUGAAUAUUAGUAUGAUUAUAUAUUUUUUGGAAUAAAUUAAUUGAAAUAAUAUGCUACCAAAGUGACUUCUAUUAUGAAAAUUAAUUUAUUUUAAAAUAUAACUGGUUGGGUACCUAUAAUUUUGUGGAUAUUGGUCGGCCCAAAGGAAGGUCAAUAUUUAAUAAAAUUACAUGUGCACUUGCGGUAAUAAAUAUGUGAUAAUUAUUUAAAUUUUACAAGUGAUUUAUAAAUUGGCCCAAAAGAAAAUUUAUUUUUUGACAUGUUAUUAUUAUCAGUAUUUAUUAUUGCACCAAGAUAUCACUUAGAAGUUAAUAUUUUUAUCCAAAGACAAAAUAUUAAUGGAACAUCAGUAUCUUGAGAUGAGAUUACCUUUAUUUGAAUUUAUUAUUGUUUUGAUUUAUGUGAGCUUGUUUUAAUUAUUUAAUGUUCUCUGUUCAGUUGUAAAUGAUCUUACAAAUAUUACUUCCAACAUCAAUAAUAUUCAUAUGUUGAGUGGCACAAACUUCAAGUCCUGAAAAGAAAAUCUCUUGAUAGUACUUGGAGUAAUGGAUCUUGACCUUGCGAUAAGGGUUGAUCCUCCCCUACCUCUUGCAGAUCAGAGUACCUCUGAUGAAAAGAAAAAUAAUGAAAAGUGGGAGAGAUCGAAUCGCUUGUGUCUGAAGAUCAUUAAAAAAGCUGUUUCAGAAGCAUUCAGGGGAACAAUAUCAGAAACGAUAGUAACCGCUAAACAAUUCCUUUAGGACAUUGAAAAAAAUGUUUGUCAAGAACGAAAAGGCUGAAAUUAGUACGCUCUUGACACGUCUGGUUUCGAUGAAAUAUAGUAGUAAAGGUAAUAUCAGAAAGUACAUUAUGGAGAUGUCUCAUCUUGCCUCAAAAUUGAAUGCACUCAAAUUGAAACUCUCCGAGGAGUUACUGGUGCAUUUGAUUUUAAUAUCUCUUUCUAUACAGUUUAAUCAGUUUAAAGUGAGUUACAUCUGUCAAAAGAAGACUUGGUUUCUAAAUGAACUCAUCUCACACUGUGUUGAGAAAGAGGAAAGGUUGAAAUAAGAUCAAAUAGAAAGUACCCAUUUGGUAUCAACUACUUAUAAUAAAAGUAAGGGACUUAAGAGAAAGAAAAAAAAAGGAGCUGCAAGUACAACGCCACAAAAGAAACAACAAAAGAAAUCAGAUAAUCAGGGAAAGAAUAGUUGUUUCUUCUGUGGAGGUGAAGGGUAUAAAAAGAAGUAUUGCACCAACUAUCACGUUUGGUGUGCUAAGAAAGGUAUGUUUUUUAAUUUGGUUUGUUCUAAGGUUAAUUUAAAUUCGGUACCUAGACACACAUGUUGGUUAGAUUUUGAUACAAUAACUCAUAUUAGUGUGUCUAUGCAGGGUUAUUUGAAUUGUUGAAAGUCUAAUGAUAAUGAAAGAUGUAUCUACGUGGGCGAUGGUAAAACAGUUUAAGUUGAAGCAAUUGGAGUUUUUAGAUUAUUGUUACAGAUCGGAUUUUAUUUGGAUCUCAAUGAAACAUUUGUUGUACCAUCUUUUAGAUGAAAUUUAAUUUUUAUUUCUGCUUUGGACAAAUUUGGUUAUUCUUGUUCAUUUGGGAAUAAAAAAUUUGAAUUGUUUCAUAAUUCAAAAUUGGUUGGUUCUGGUUCUUUAAUGCACUAGGAUAAUCUAUAUUUAAUUGAUACAAUUGUCUCAUUUAAUGAAUCUCUGCAUUUGAGUACUAGAGGAGGAGAAAGAAAACUAACCAAUGAAAAUUCAGUCGCAUUAUCGCACAAGAGAUUGGGACAUAUCUCCAAACGGAGAAUGGAAAGACUUGUGUCAAAUGAAAUUCUCGACCCCUUGAAUUUUACAGAUUUUAAUGAUUGUAUUAACUGUAUAAAGGUAAAAUAAACCAAUAAAAGGAGAUUUGAAUCCAAUAGAUUCUCAGACGUCUUAGAACUUAUACAUACGCAUAUUUGUGAGUCAUUUUUUAUGUCUGCUUGGAAUGAUCAAUAAUAUUUUAUAACGUUCAUAGACGAUUUUUCAAGAUAUGGUGUGAUGCCCCCACUUCUCCCUAAGGCGAACCAAAGGGUAUCCGCGGGACGCCUGCCUAAUUCUCGCCAGGACUCAAGCAAUUCCGUUCAAACUUAUUAUCGAUCUACACAACACAAGUAAAUAACUUAAAUACAGCAAAUGCGGAAGCGUUCGAACUUAACAAUAGUCAUCCAUUAUCCAACCUGCACGUCGGGUGUUCAAAGUACAUUAUGAAUUCCAAAUAUACAUCACGCCCCAAAAGUUACAUUUCAAUUCCAAAAGUACAACCCAAACCCAAGGGCAUGUCCAAAAUACAAUAGAAAUCCUAAACAAAAGUACAUCAGGAGGGUUUCUCCAAUACAUCUCCAAGUUCAAUUCUCUUAAGGAAAACAAAUCUACAGGGUGAGCAAAACGCUCGUGAGGCCAAGAACACACAUGCAGACACAUAGUUCAGGUAACAAGCCCAAGUAACAGUUCAAGUGAUAAUUUGUAAGUAAUUAACAAUGCCAACAAAAUGUAAACAGAAACAAUUCAAGAAUAUGGUAGCUCUCAGGAGCUAAGUUCCACUUGUUUUGCCGAUGUCAUUCGUAUAUCUCCCCGCGAUGACUCUCCGUCAAUCGGGUUGAUAUUUCUAAACCAUAGAUCACCACUUACUUCUCAUCCGUCCACCAUAUACCGCUCCGGGCCCGCACAACAUUUAUAAAGCGAUAGUCCACGAGUAUGCCAAGCAAGAUCUCUCAAUAGAUCAAGCUUAUCAUGUGAAUCUCAUGGCUCACCGAGAUUUCCGACCAAACCCAUGUCAGCUCGAGUUCCAAGAUCGGCUUAUGAGUUUGGGCGUCCCCCAUGUACAUGUAAAUGUCGAGGAGAUUCACUCCAUCGACGUAUGCACUCAUAGCAUACCAAAUCAUGUAUACAAGCAUUUGACAGGUCCAAGCAUGUAUUUCAGGAUGUGUAAGUCUAGCAAGCCAGGCCAAACAUGAAUCAAUUAUUUCAAAUGAGAACGAGUGCGAUAAAGUACACACUCGACUCCAUUUUAUCAAAACCAGGUAGGUUAAGCAAGACAGGCAUGUAUCAAGUUCACAGGAGUUCAAGUAAACAUGCACUUGACACUCACCAAGUAAAACGAGAAGAAAAGGGCACUCGAAAUUUAAGCGUCCACCGUGGGAUUCUCUUGAGGGUUCUCGUGUGUGCCCAAGGAAAUAAUAGUGAAGCAUCACUCAUAUAUCCCAAUUAUCAAGGAAGAUUGUACACUAGUACAAUCUAAAGAAAUUUUAUGAAAACAAAUCUCAAUUACUCGUAAAUCGAGAAUCAAUUAGAGUUUCUUAAAGUACAAGAGCGAUCGAGUUUUCAUUUUGGAAAAUCAAGUAUAAAACGUUCAAGUAAUAUCGAAGGAAUAAAGAGUGCUUGAAAACUCCCUUCCUUUGGAAUUCGGAAAAUUUUCAGUUUUGAUACGAUAUUUUGAAAAAUCGUAUCUCACAUUCUACAUGUCAAACAUUGGAAAACUUGGUACCGUUAGAAAUCUUUUUGAAAGUACUAAAAGUUUUUAGAAGAUACUUUUCCAUGGUUCUAAAUGAAAAAUAUUCAGAAAUGGGCUCAAAGUUACUGUUUCAGAGUACUUAAGAUUGUGUUGGGGUUGGUUUUUCGCUAAUUUUGGAAAUUCGGCAAAAUUCACACGUUGCGAGCUAGCCUCUGAAAUUUGUAAUUCAAUUAGAGUUGCAAACACCGAGAUACGGAAGCUCGAAGUUUGGGAAAAUUUCAAAACUGGUGAACAAAUUUCCAGAUUUGAGCUUCCAACUUUGGGACUUUAGUUAGGUAUCGUAAUGGACUUGGAUUGGUACAAAAUUCGGCAGUGUAAUACUCCUAUAUAAAGAUUGUCUCUCUCUCAAAUUUCAUGGAAAAAUACCUUCGGGAAGGUAGUCAACCAAACAACCAAAAUUUCGAAAAUCCUAAGACAAAACUGCCUUGAGCCUUUUGUUUUCCAUUCCAAACAUUUGGUCAAGGAAAAAUUCCUCAAACAUGGCUCAUUGGCAUAGGCAAAACCUAAGGAACAUUCAUGGUACAUUUGGUAAGUGUUUAGCACCAAACAAAAUUCAAUUAGCAAGUCUACACCAAGCCUUGCAACAAAUCUAUCCAAAAGUUAGGGUUUUUAAGAGCAGGGCAGGUUCCGUAUUUUGAUCACAAAUCACUCAUCUUAACUCAGAAUUGGGCAUGGUUUAUGGCGUUGGAAAACACAUUCAUAGAACUAUACUUUCACAGAAGAAAUCAUUUUGAAAUUCGGCACAGAACUAGCUCGAAUUUGAGCGACAAGUUGCAGCCUCAGCAUUUCGUUCCAGGAAAACAGAGAAACAGGACAGCCGAAUUUAAAUGGUUGGUUUGGCUCACAUACAUGGAACCAGAACAUGAAUUUUAUACCGUCGGAAAGGUGGGAUUGUCUAGUUUCAAAUGCCACUAACGGCACUCAAUUUCGACAUCAAAGCACAGAGUUAUGAUGAAACAAGAAAGCUGAUCUGAGCAUGUCGGGAAGAAUUCCAGGUUUACCAGCUUUGUGGAAUCAAUUCAUUUGACCAACCAAACCUCAAUAUUUUUCAAUGAAAUUUUAUACAGCAUCUAUACAACAUAUAAACAUCAUAUAUAAGUCAUUACAACCUCAAAAUUUCGCAAGAAUAGGUACGUUCAAAGCAGGGGCAGAAUCAAAACGUUUUACGCCAUGCACUUCUUGAAGUUUAUACUAAUAAUACACUAUUAAUCUACCAUUUUGAGCACUAAACCAACAUUAAAUCCAUCAUCAAGUAUCACAUCAACCAUCAAGACAAAGGUGGGAGUUCAUAGAGCCCACCUUCCAAAUUUUCCAACAAUAACAACCACCCAUAUGAAUACAAGAGCUUAAAGGUAUCCUAAAAUCUAGAAGGUUUGAUCAUUACUUACUCUAGUUGAUGUCCAAGGCAGAAAUUUCGGUCCUUAAAAGCUCCAAGAAAACCAUGGAAACCUCCUCCUUUUGAAGCCGAAUGGACUCUCCAAGGGACAAGCUAGGUGGUCUUCAAUUUUGGUGUGAAUCUAUGAAGGUUUGGUGCAAGAAUUGAAGAUGAAAAAUGGCAACUUUUGUGUUGUAUUUUGCAGCUGAUGGUUCGCCCAAGAGAGAGACUAGGAGAGAGUGUGUUUGAUCCAAUUUUGGCUUCUUAAGGAAGAUACAAUGUGUGGUGUAAAAAUCACUCCAAAGUCAACUGAGAAUAGCGCGCAUAGGGCACGUUUGGUGCUCGGUUUCUCUCGUAUUUGUUUCACUAGUGCACUAAACCUCUAGUACACUUAUAUUCUUACAAAUAUUAUUCACUCUUAAUUGUUUUAAAAUAAUGGUCUAAAGUCCCUCAAUUAAGCGCGAGCGUGAAACCGCGUAUUUCCAAUUUAGGCGCGAUUAAGUGAAACCUUCAAGAAAUUCUUGUAUCGAUCGUACCACUAACUAUCACUUGAGUACUUAAACAUAGAAUUACCUAUUUUAGAACCAUUGUACAUGUCCCCAAGUUUUCGAGCUUAUUGUACUCCCAAUUGCUAAUGUUUUCAGACACGUUUUCACUAUUGAUAUUAAUCGAGCUCCCAAAAAUUAAUUUUUGAAACGAUUCACUUUAAAAAUAUAAUGAAGUCAUAACUCCAUGUAUUUAAGUCUAAUAAGGCUAGAAAAUAAUAAUCGAAGCAAAUAUUCAAAUAAAUAAUUAAAUGAGCAAAAAUAGGAGUCGAAAAAUAAUAAUUUUUUACGAGUCCUCACAUUCUCUCCUCCUUAAGAAAAUUUCGUUCUCGAAAUUUACCUUGAUUGGUGAACAGGUUUGGAUACUUUUCUCGAAUUGCUUCUUCAACCUCCCAAGUUGCUUCCUCCAACCCAUGGUUCUUCCAGAGGACUUUUACUAAUGAUAUCUGUUUAUUUCUCAAUUUCUUCACCUUCCUAUCCAGAAGUUUAACCGGUUUCUCCUCAUAGGUCAAAGUCUCAUCAAUCUCAACAUUUUCCGGUCGUACGACGUGAGAAGGGUUCGGAUGGUACUUUUUAAGUAUAGAUACAUGAAACACAUUAUGAAUUCGAGAUAAAUUUGACGGUAAUUCCAACUUAUAGGCUACACUCCCCACACGUUGGAUAAUCUUGUAAGGCCCUACAAACCUUGGCUGUAACUUCUUUUCUUUUCCAAACAUCAAUCUUGCUUUCAAAGGUGUAAUCUUGAGAAAUACCAAAUUUUCAACAGUAAACUCCAAAUCCUUUUUUCGAUUAUCGGCAUAACUCUUUUGGCGGCUCUGGGCGGUCUGAAUUCUUUGGCGUACUAACCUUAUUUUCUCACUAGCUUCUUCAAUCCAAGAUACUGUGGUCGGGUCUAAGAUUUUUCGUUCACCUAUUUCGUCCCAACAAAUUAGAUACCUACAUUUCCGACCAUAAAGUGCCUCAUACAGGGCCAUCUGAAUAGAAGAGUGGAAACUAUUAUUGUAAGCAAUUUCUACUAAAGUCAAAAACUUACUCCAAUUCUCUCCAAAAUCCUGAACACAAGUCCUUAACAUGUCCUCAAGAGUUUGAAUUGUCCUCUCCGACUGUCCAUCAGUUUGGGGAUGAUAAGUGGUACUAAAGUUCAAUUUAGUCUCCAAUACCUCUUGUAUAUUUUGCCAGAACCUCGAAACAAAUCUCGGAUCCCUGUCGGACACGAUACUUACAGGUAUUCCAUGCAACCUAAUGAUCUCAUCAAAUACAAUCUGGCCAACUUCUCUAAUGGGUAUUUCAUAUUAAUCGGUAGAAAAUGGGUCGAUUUGAUUAAUUUAUCCACUAUUACCCAAAUCGUAUCAUGGCCUCUCUGUGUUCUUGGUAAUCCCGAUACAAAAUCCAUGGUGAUAUUCUCCCAUUUCCACUCAGGUAUUUCUAGAGGUUGCAAAAGUCCUGAUAGUUUCUGAUGUUCGACUUUAAUUUGUUGACAAAUUAAGCAUAUUUAGACAAAUUGAGUAAUCUCCUUCUUCAUGUUGUCCCACCAAUACAGACUCUUUAAGUCUUGUUACAUUUUAUUUCCUCCUGGAUGUACCGUAAACUUUGAUCGGUGUGCCUCUUCUAAAACUUCCUUUUUAAGUCCUUCAUCCUUUGGCACAAUCAUCCUAUUCUAAAAUCUCAAUACACCAUUCGAUUCCAAGUUAAAAUCUGACUUGUCCCCCUUUUUAACCUUUUCCAACCACUUCUACACUUCAGUGUCCUUUCCUUGAGAUUCCUUGAUACGUUCCAUUAAAGUGGAAUUCAAUACAAUAUUUCCCAAAAUUACUUUCCUCGGUUCCAAUCGAGAAUUCCAAUAACUAACUUCUUCCAACAAUUGGAAUUCCUUAAUCAUCAAUCCAGCCAUCUGUACUUGACGAUUCAAAGCAUUAGCCACUACAUUAGCUUUCCCUGGAUGGUACUUAAUCGUACAGUCAUAGGCUCCGUUUGGAUUAGCUGUUUUUGGGUUUGUUUUUCAAAAAUACCACUGUAGCAUUUUGAAUCUGAAAAACAAGUCCGUUUGGAUUAGUUGUUUUUGGGGUUGUUUUUCAAAAACUAUAUGAAAAACUUUUACUGUAAAUUUUUUUGGAUUAUUUUUAGAGGUAUUUUUGAAACAUAUUUUUGAGUAUUUUUAGAAUAUUAUAAUUUUUAUAUUUUUAUAUAAAUAUACAUUUAUGCAUUUAUAAUCCAUUUAUAUUUACAAAUGUAUAGAUGUAUAUUAUUAUAAAUGAAUAAAUUAUAAAUGAAUAUUAUAUAAAUGUAUAAAUUAUAAAUUAUAAAUUUUAUAUUUUUAUAUAAACAUGCAUUUAUGCAUUUAUAAUACAUUUAUAGAUAUUUAUAAAUAAAUAUAUUUAUAUAUUCAUAUAAAAAUAUAUAAAUGUAUUAUAUUAUAAAUAAUACAUAAUAUAAAUAUAUUUAUAAAUGUAUAAGUGUAUAUUAUUAUAAAUGUAUAAAUUAUAAAUGAAUAUUAUAAAUAUAUUAUAAAUUAUAACUGUAUAUUAUUAUAAAUGUAUAAAUUAUAAAUUAAUAUAUUAUAAAUAUAUAUUAAUAUUAUGUAGAAAUGUAUUUAUAUAAUUAAUAUAAAUGUGUAUAUGUAUUGAUAUUAUGUAUAAAUGUAAAAUUAAUAUUAUGUAUAUUAAUAUAAAUGUAUAAAUGUAUUAAUAUAUAUAAUACGUAAUAUAAAUGUAUAUUUAAAUGUAUAAGUGUAUAUUAUUAAAAAUGUAUAAAUUAUAAAUGAAUAUUAUAUAAAUGCAUAAAUGUAUAAAUAUAUAUUAAUAUUAUGUAGAAAUAUAUUAAUAUAAUUAAUAUAAAUGUAUACAUGUAUUAAUAUUAUGUAUAAAUGUAAAAUUAAUAUUAUGUAUAUUAAUAUAAAUGUAUAAAUGUAUUAUAUUAUAUAUUAUACAUAAUAUAAAUGUAUAUUAUAAAUAUACAUAAAUAUUUAUAUAUUAUGUAUAAAUGUACAUUUAUAUAAAUGUAUAAUAUAUUAUACAUUAUAUUAUAUAUAAUUUAUAUAACAUAUAAUAUUUAUGUAAAUAUAUUAUAAAUAUAUAAAAAUAUAUUAUAAAUAAAAUAAAAUAUUUAUAAUAUGUAUGUAUAAAUAUAUAAUAUUGGAAAUGUAUAAUAUAUAUAAGAUACAUUAUUAUUAAUAUAAUUUAUGUAUAAUAUACAUAAUUGAAAUAUACAUAUUAAUAUAUAUUAUAAAAAAAUUGAAUAAAUAUAUUUAUAAAUAUAUAUAUAAAUAAAUGUAUUUACAUAAAUAUAUAAUAUUUAUUUCAAUUGAUAUAAUAUAUAUAAUAUUAUACAUAAUUGAAAUAAAUAUAUUUAUAUUAAUAUAAUAUACAUAUAUAUAUAAUAUACAUAAUUGAAAUAUACAUAUUAAAAUAUAUUAAAAUAUAAUUGAAAUAUACAUAUUAAAAUACAUAAUUAAAAUAUACAAAUUGAAAUAUACUUAUUAAAAUAUACAAAUUAAAUAUACAUAAUUGAAAUAUAUUUGUAGUUGUUUUUGAUAUAUUGUUUGGAUAUGGUGUUUUUGAAGUUGUUUUUGAAAUACACAUUACUGUAGCAUUUGAAAUGUGAAAAAUAGUUUUUCAAAAACAGGUGCAAAAACACUCAAUCCAAACGCAGCAAGAGAUGUGUCAAGUCCUUCCCUUGUCAAGGGUUUAGUUGCAAUUUUUACAAUUCCAAAAUAGAUGUAGUUGUAUUUUUGUUGAUGUCUUUAAAUAGUUUUCUUUGGUAAGAGUUUGAUUUCUUCAUGGUCAGUAUUUAAAGUAAUAGUUUGUUCAACAAUUUUAAUUGUAUAAUCAGAGGUGAUUUUCCGUCAUUUACUAUUUUAAUAUAUUUCAUGUUCUUGAUAAUUAGGAAUUUCUCAGUUAUCUAUUUCUUGAUUAAUAUCUUGUAUGUUUAUUUCUUUCUUUAAAUGAGUGUUUGAAUAAAUAGAUGUUUUAGAACUAGAUCUAAAGAAAGAAUCCAUUGAAAAAAAGUAAGAUAAAUAGAAAAUAUUAAGACUAAUGACAUAUAUGUAGGAUUUGCAGAUCCUUUAGGAUCCAUGAGGAAUAAAUAUAUCAAUUAGACAAAUUAUGAUAUAGAUAGUAUGAAUCUAAAGAUCAAAUUUGAACUUUAAAACACCUCAUUGCCUUGGGUACUAUCAUUAUCCAAAGACCUCCUUAGCCAUAUAGGUCUUACUGCUAAAUCCCAUGGUCUUGCUAUUAUGACCAUCCUUAAAGGUUCCCAAAGCUUGUUGUUCGUCAGCAAGAUCUAAACUUGUAGAUUCAUACUAAAAGUGUCAUCAUAAGUUAAGAAAUGUACUCAUCACCCUAUUUCCCUCUUUGGUUCUAAAACCAGAGUGGGGCAAGGGACUAUCCUUAGAAGCAGGAAGGAUUUAAGACCAGAGUAAGGAAAUGGGUCACACAUGGACUGCCACUAAGAAGUUCAAGCGAUUGAACCAACCAUUCAUCAAUAUAACAACAAAUAAGUAAAUAAAGUAAAAAAAAAAAAAAAAAAAGAGUAUGUAGGCGGCUGAAUUGACCAUUCACAAGAUAAUAUAUGUUUGACUAAAAUUUAUUGAAGAAGUUUUGAGGCUUACAAGGUUGAGGAAAGCUUGAUGUUCACUUGAUCCAAGCUUGUUCCUAAGAUGUAGCCUAAACUAGUUUGUAUUCUAAAGAGAAGGAAGUGGAUUUCUUCAAUUUGGAGAGGGAAGUGAGCUGAAGAAAUGGUGUGUCUAAAAUGAUGAGUUUGAGGGUUAUUCAUAACAAAAUUUUUGUUCUACUACAAUGCCUGCCACGUGUAUAGUACCACUGCAGUAGUAUAGUGCUACUAUAGUGCGCACUACAGUGUACAAUGUAAUUUUUAUUGCCUUGUUUGCACAAUAACUUGCCAAAUUAUUAUUUUAUUUUUUGGUGCCAUAGUGAAUUUCAAUAAAAAUUGUUUUUCAUUAUAAUUGUUUUCAGUUUGUGAUUUUAAGACGGGAUCAGUCCGGUUGAGCCAUCUUGAUUUGUUUAGCAAAUGGUUGCGAACAGUUUUUUCAUUGUUUUUUGAAUCAUGUCAUCAUAAUGCGGUGCCUUGACUCCUCAGUUCUUGAGCCAAUGUUGGUUUGUUAAGAAUUAGCCUUUGAACUUUCCUCAUAUUCAAAAAUUUUUUAUCCUUUAGACUUUAAAUUGUGUAGUUUGCUAGCCUUACGUAGACAUUGUCAUGUUUAUGUAUAAGAUAUGAAGGGAUUAGAUCACCAGUCUCAGAGUUGUAGAAUAUAACAUCAUAGUUUUGGAUUCUGUCUUUCUUUUAUUCUUGUUGGUAAGAAUAGUAGUCGAUUAUGAGAUGCGAAAUUGCAUCAUUUGAAAGUCUUACUAGAUAGUCAUUAAUUCUUCUUGUAAGACAUUCAUCUCUUGGAAUAAAGUUGGAUGUUGAGCUUUCUCCUAUUAACAUUUUCCUGCCAAAAUGAAGAGAAAGCAACAAACUUUUUUGGUUAGAUUAAGUACUUGUUUAGGGAUCAGAUUUUUGAAGGCCUAAAUCUGGUUUUAGUUUUUUAGAGAAUGGAAGAAGAGCUUCUAGCCUAAGGUUUUGAGGAACAAUUCCUUCAUGAGUGACUAAAUAAGGACCAAGAGGUAAAAUGAAGGAUGUUCCUAUAAUGAUAUUGUUAGUAAUGUCUUUAGCCAAAAGGAGAGCUUUUUUUAUUGAGACUGAUGAAAAUUGGAUUGUCACAUUUGAAAGUUGGAAUUGGAUAUCUAAUUUGGAGCUAUUUGCAUUUUGUAGAUACCAAAAUUUUCUUUAUCUCAAGUUUAUUAUUAUUUUUAUUUUUAUUUUUACAUAUUUGCAAUAAAAACUGCUUAAGCAAUCAUUUUAAUUUGGUUUUGCAGGUUUGCACAAGAAAAAAAAAUCAAGAAAAAUAACUCUUUUUUAUUUAACCCCCAAACCUAAAUUCCUAAACCCCAAAGUAAACUCACUCAAAACCCAAAUAAAGGCCAAGCAAAACCCAAAAGAAAGAAAAAAGAGAGGCCAAUUGGCCCAUUUCUUUCCGCUCCAAAAAAAAAAAAGAAAAGAAACUUUGGAUCAUUUCAUGUGCUUGUGCAAUCAUAUUCGGAGAAGGAAACCAAUAUAAAGUUCGUACUGGAAAUAUUAUCACACCAUUUUUUUUCUCCCUUUCUUUCUUUCUCCCCAAGCCUUGUUGGUACAAAGACAACUCAUCUUUUUAAAAUUUUAUCCUUUAACACCUAACAAAAUUCAUCAAAAGGUUAGAAAUGAAACAAAUCAUCAUCUUUCUAGAAAUUUCAUCUGAAUCCUUAGUUUUAAGGUUUUGUUUAUUUGCAUGGGUUAUAUAAAUACAUUAAUAAGGGAGCUUUUAGGGUUUAGGAAGAGAUAUCCAUUAGUUUUUGCCUGUGUUUUGUGUGACACCCCACCUUUUCUUAGGGCACACCUCAAGGAUUAACGGACUGCUUGCUCAACUCUCGUCAGGAUUGGAUAAUCUUUCCCACACUGUCCGAGCACAAAGAACAGAAAUAACAAUCCUCAAGCAUUUUACAACCCAGUGCUAUUUACAUUAGAGUCACUAGUAGUUCAAUCUUAGAGUACAAUUCAAAAUAUUCAAACUUACAUAAAUACAUAGGAUGUUCACUAUUACAGAGAUGCUUAAACAAAACACCUAAGGUCUACUACUAGAACAACUCUUUCCAAAAUCACGAGCUCAAGUAUUCAUUCCUAUAAGGAAAACAAAGAUAAUAGGAUGAGUUUUCGCCCACAGGAACAUGCAGUCAGCAAUAAAAUGGAAAGCAAAAUCACAUAUGAGUAACAAUUUGAGAGAUAAAUAAGCACCACAAUUUACAGAGUAAAAGGAUACAGUUGGUUCUCAGGAGCCAAAUUCCCAGUUGCAGUAGCUUGAUCUAACCCAAUUGACACUCCGUCAAUGUUUAAAGAACCAAGAAUAUUGUCCGUAGACCUUCACUUUACACCAAUCCCCGUUCACCAAUUAUACCCCUUACCGGACCCGAACACCAAACAGUGAGGGUAAUACUCAAGUAUACCAAACUCCAGAAUAAACAGUAUUCAGUGAAUAGUUUCCCCAUAGCCUAUCAAUUUAUUUCGACCAAACCCUUACUGGUUCGAUUUGAUUAAUUAAACAAUGGGGUUUCGGCCCAAGUUCACGGUGUAGUCGUUAGAUAGUAUGUUCCAAACGACAUUCAAUUCAAGCACAAGUAACAUAUUUCAAGUGAACAGUAGAAUAAUCAAACAAUCAAGUGGGAUCGAGUGUGAUAAAGUACACACCCGUGCAGCCCAGAGCAAACCAAAAUCAUAGCCAUACAUUCAUAAAUUUCAAUCACAUAGUACUUCACUUAAACAACAAGUCAUGCAAGUGAUAUACUCUCCAGUUCAAAGUAGAGCAACGUUAAACGUUCAUCUCCGGGUUAUGCUCGUAUUCGUCGUCAAAGCCUAUGAGCAACCAAGAUAAAAGAUAUUAUGGUCCAAUCAUCUAAAACUUAGGUGAACCAAGUUCACAUUUUUGACUCAACUAUGCCAUACACCUAUCCAAAAUGACCCUCUCAAAAACACAAAAUUGAAAGAUAAAUUUGAAAGUGCAAAUCAAGGAAAAUCCAAAUGCGUUCUAGGGCAAUGGUUCAAGUAUGGUUUUGAAGUGAAAUGAGAGCAUUUGGACCCAAGAAACAUGAGCAAUGAAAGAGUUCCACAAUUCAUUUCAUUGCUGGAAAUUUCCAUCAACAAAACAGUGAAGAAAAACAAAGUAGUUCACAUUUUUAAGUUAUUAGAUUCACUCCAAUUCAACACACUAUUGUAGUUCAAGGUUUUAGCAAGUGAUAUGAGCAAGAUUGAGUCCAAAAGACCACUAAAUAAGGGGACUUUAAGGCUACAAACAGCAGGACAAGUAGGCUGCCAUCCUACCAUUUUUUUUCGAAAAGAAACAAGCACAACAUGAGGUUUCCACCUUCCAAAACUCAUGGUUUUCACUCAAGUUCAACCCACAAGAGUCCUAACAAAUGUUUAGAACAAGAUUUGGCCAAAACUUAACAUGAAAAGGUUGAAAAACAAGGUGGAAUACAUCACCAUCAGUUCAGCCAGCAAUUAAUUUGGAGCUAGAAAAGUUCGAGGAAAACACCAAUGAAACCUCUUCAUUUCAACUAAAAAUCAACACACAAGUAGAGUUUAAGGGUUUACCAAGUACAUUAGACAAAUUUACCACAAAAUCACCUCACGGUUAAAGGAAACGACGCUAGUUCCCACUCAGCCAGCAUCACCCCUGUUUUCCUUAAGUUUUUCCUCCAAAUUCAAAGUUAAACUUCAUGACAUAUCAACCUUAAUCAAGACCACAAGUUAUAAGAUAUAAGGAAUACUUGUUCUAGGCCACAAAGCUAACCAAAUUGUACAUAUACCUAGCCCAUAUACAACUAUACCAAAGCUGGAAAAUUGAACCCUGAGUUGAAAUUUACAACCAAAAGCUAGAAAUUCCUAUAGUGAACCCAAAAGUACAUACAAAAGCUAGAAAAUCUUCAUGGCAAGACUAAAAGGACAUAGAAAAGAUAGAAUUAGCAUUUCAAGGCUAGAAUUUUUCAAUCAAAGCUGGAAAUUUCGAACCACUACCACUACACAAACUAUGAAAUUUUCCAUGGAAUCUACCAUAAUCAAGUCAUAAAUCUACUCAAGUGCAAGAUAAAAGAGAAAAGGUGAUUUCUAGACAUAAAUACCUUCAAACGCUAUGAAGAAAUGCAACCAAGAGCUUCCUUUUUUCCCCAAAUUUCUCCACACAAGCUUUCCUUCCUUCCUUGAUACAACUUUCUAUGGAUUGGAUUAGGAUUUUAGGAUGAAUUCUCAAGGAUUGAAGCAAGGAAUCAAGUUGGAAUUUAGAGUUUUUUCCCUCUCUUUUCUUGCUUAGAGGUUCGGCCAAGAGGAGAAAGAAAGUGAAGAGUUUUGUUUCAAUUUUUCAAGAUAAAGCCAAAGACUAGUCUUGGUCAAAGAGUAGUUGGAUUGUUGACAAGUGGCGGCUCAGGGUUUAAAAUUAUCUCUUUGUCUUUCCUUUGUCUCUAAUUACUAAUCUAUAUUGUUUACCUCUAAUUCACCAUUAACACUUCUAAUCAUAUAAUCUCUCUUGUAAAAAUACCCAUUUUUAUUCACUAAAUUUAUUACGUACCUCACUAGUAGGUCCCACUUCUAUAACACAUUACGAACUUAACAUGCACUAACUUAUAGAAGAAAAACGAUAAAAAUCUUGACUCUCUUAUAAAAGUAUCUAAGAAAUUAAGACAAAUAAAGUAAAAUAAAGGAAAAUGUAUUCAAAAAAUAAGAUAAAAUAUAAAAUAAUUUUCGAGUUCUCACAUUUUGAAAAUCAUGCAUAACCGGCUAGUUCAACCAGUUGAACCGGGUAGGCAUCCGAUCCGAGUUGAUCUAAAAACCCGUCAAAUAAAAACUCGGUCAAAAAUUGAGUUUGACCAAAAACCAUACGAACCGGAUUUUUUCUAUCUUUUCUUUUUUUACCUUUUUGUUUCCCCUUUUUUAUUCUUUCUUUUAACUACUCUCAAAUCUCUUCAUAUAUCCUACCAUAAAUCUCUCUUAAACAACUCCAAUGGAAGAUCUAAGUUCAAAAUGGGAUAAAACAUAAAAAAAAAAAGAAAGUAAAAAAUUCACCUAGAAACAUUUUAUCAAUUUUAUGAUUUGACCCUUAGAGUACUAGAAAACUAUUAUUACACCUAAAAACAUUUUAGAACUUGUAGCUACAGUCCUAAAUUCUUGUACUACUUGUCAAAUAAGCCUUCCAAUCUGGUUCUAAACUUGUUGACUAUGCAUUAAAGUAUAAUAUGCAUAAAUUGCUACUUAAUUAUACCACUUUAUUUGUAGUUUCAUGUAAAGUAUUUUAGAACACCAAACAUACAUUGAACCUACCUUUCUUAGCAUUAAUAUGUUUUUAGAAAUUCUAUAUAAUAUAUUAAUUUUUAAAAUUAAAUAUAUUUAUGACAUCAUGAUGAUGUUAUUCGGUUCUUGAAUGGGUUCGACCCAUUGACCCGUGACCUCUAAUCUCGACCGAGUUGAUGGCCGAUCCGAGUUUCAAAACAUUGGUUUUAGUCAUUAUAGAGAUCUAGGGAGACAAAAAUAGAGAUUGAAAAGAGAGAAAAAAAAUUUUCUUGCAGAAACCAAAAAAACAAGGCUAACCUAUCAGCCUUGUUCGACGACAUUUUUCUCUUUCAUUAUAGCUCCAUUUUGAUUGAUUAUUUUUUUUGUAUACUCUAUACAUGUAGUAGAAGAACUUUCAUGUUGAAAAUUUCAUGAGAAAACAGCUACAAAGCCACCAAUUUGACAUCAAAUUUGAGGAAAAAUCAGACCUGGUGCCCAAAGUUCUGGGAACUUAGAGUUGAAUCUGUAGUUUCAAAAUCCGUUUGUUUUGGAUCGUUUUCGACUAAUACAUUCAGGUAGAAGCUCUCAAACUUUGGUUACUCUAUUCUUUUUAGUUUGAAUGCAUCUUGGGGAUUUUCUUUGUCAUGUUUUGUUCAUCUAAAGGUCAAGGAUGGCGAAAACUUGCGUAAUUGAUUGAAAACUCAACUUUUUCCUGAUGUUCCAACCUUGGGCAUGGAUAGAAUCUGUGGAUCUUUGUUCAUAUGUUUUACAUACAGUUCUAAUCAUGGAGCUUGAAUUGUAUGAAGUUUUUGUCUUGAAACUUGAUAUGGGUAUAUUGUGUAGGGUUUUAAUCAUGUGCACAUAUAGGGGCCGGGAGGGGGGGUUUGAUGAUUUCAUCCAUACUUAAAUAUGGAUGAAAUUCUUGAUAGGGCAUGCUUAGGAAUUUUUCAGAAAUUGGUGAAGAUUUAGGCUUGUUGUGUCCAUAGUUUCUUCCUUCUUCGUUUUCUUCUCGUUUUGGUUGUUCCUUUUCUUUCUUAGUUUGCUUUUAUUGAUUUUCUGGAGCUUGACUCCAUUUCAUAUAUUGGUGUUUCAUGUGAAGGCUUUAGAUGUGAGCUAAUGGAAAUUGCAAUGGGGUCUUGCUUAAGUAUUGGUUUAGGUUUAGGAUGGACUUGUUUGUUUUUUUAAGAAGCUAAGUUUGUAGAGUUUUUGGUUGGGCUCAUUUGAAUUAUUUUGUUUGGACUUGCUUAUUUUAGAUUGGGUUUAUUGGUGGUUUACUUUUGAUGCAUUAUUUGAGAAUUUUCUAGUUUAUUGUAAAUUCAUUACUCCAAUUAUUUGGAUGGUCUUACAUGGGAGUUUCUAAAAAUAAUAAAAUAUUCUCUAUUUGGCCCCUAAUUUUUGCAUAAUCAUGCUAAGCCCCAAAAAUUGUAAAAAUGGAUAAAUUUCUUCCUUUUAGAGUCUUGAUCUCUUGUUAUGAUGUUUUAUACAUGUUUUGGGUGAAUGAAUUCUGGUUUUUUUUUUAAAGUAUAAUUAGGAUUUAAAUAAAUUUCUUGAGUUUAGAAUUUUAAUUUAGCAACUUUAGAAACUAAUGUAAAUAGUUUUUUAUUUGAUGGUUUAAAGUUAUUUUUGGUGAUUAAAUUAUUCUGGUUUUGAGUAGAUUAUGAAUAAUAGGGUAUAAAAGUUUAUUUUUGAAGAAUUUGCAUUUUGGCCCCUAGAUUUUUAAAAUUUUUAUUUUUGCCCCCAUUGUUUUUAUUUUUCUCACUUUAGUCUUUAAGAAUAUUUGUUCAUAUUUGAAAUGUUAGUUUAUUAUUUUUUUUAUAGCAUUAGUGAGUUUCCUUUUAAAGGAAUUAUGUUUUUUUAUCUCUAACAAUUAAUUGCCAAUUAAAUAGGUGCCUUGACGCGUUUAUUAUUUUUUGAGCAAUAGAUAGCUCUUUCCCUCUUCAUUUAGCCGCUAUUUCAAAAAGGAGGUACCCCUAUUAUCCUCUAAAUUUUAACUAUGUGUUUGUGCGUAUUUAUAUGUUUUAUGUAUUUUUCUUUUAUUUAUUUAUUUUAAACUUUUAUUCAUUUUUAUGUUUGUUUAUUUAAUUCAAGUCUUAUAAUUAUUUGGGGGUAUUUAAAUUAUCAAGAUGUAAUAGAUAGGUUAUAUCUUCUUGUGCAAGAAAUGUAAUUAGAUAGGUUUUAUUUUUGCAAAAAAUGAUUAGAUAGGCAAAUAUAAUUGAGAGGUUAAAUCGCUUUAUUAUCUUAUAUUUCCCCUUUUAGAUUAUAGUUAGGGUCCCAAUGUAAUAGUUAGGUCAUGUGCACUUGUGUGUUUAUGUACUUAUGUGUUUUAUUCGCUUUUUUUAGAAUUUUGCAUUUAAAUAUUAUACUUUGCACUAUGUGCUCUACGUGCUUUAUGUGUUUAUUUGUUUUGAUUAUACUUUAUAUGCUUUAUUAUUAAUAAAUAAUAAGUGCAUGACGCCACCACAUUAAUUCAACACUAGUAUGGCUUUUCUCUCCAUUUCCUCACUAGUCCAAUGCUAAUAAGGACUUGUAGAGAUGAGUUAGUCCAGUGUUAGACCCUUAAGCCAUCCACAUACUAGAUUCAUACUUUUGUGUGAUAUUUAUUACAUUUUCAUGCUUUUUUCUAUCUUAGGUUGUUUUCUUCCAAUUGCAUGAUAUGUCCUCUUGUAUUAUUCUCUUGCCCCUACAUGUGUAAACUAUAUCAUUUAGACUUGUAUUUCAUGUAGAAAAUUAGAAAAUAGGUUAAUUCAUUUGCUUGUCUAGAUUAGAAGAGUCAUCCUUCGAAUAUAAAAAAUAGGUGAGUAUGAUUUCUUAAAUUUAGCACACUAUUACCCCUUUAUAAAAAAGAAAAUCGUGUCAUGAAUUUUAGUUUUUCGUACUUGCUAUGUUACAUUCCUUUUUUUAGGUUAUAUAUAUUUAUCUAUACAUCAUAGUUUUCAUUUCUUCGAAUGUCAUCUUUUGUAUUUUCGUGAUCUCUUCAAGGGAUCAUUCUUGGAUUUCGCAAUUAAUGUAAUUGAUACCAAUUAAAUCUUAAAGAAAUAUUUCAUCCCUCUUGAUAUCCUCUAGGUUGGAUUUCCAUCCAUCUAAAAGCAUCCGAAUGUGAUAAGUUUAAUAAUUAUAUUAGAAAAUUUUUAACUAAAUCUUGUAACUAAUCUUGUUUGGAUUGAAAGGGAGCAUUAAAUUUGAGUGGAUAUAUUUGCUUUCCCUUUCUUAAACCAUGACUCUUGAAUUUUUUCACUCACUUUUAAAGCAUUGAGUCGUAUAAAAGGGUUUUAUCCAUUGUUAUUUUUUAAAAAAAUAUUUUUUGGGUGAUUUGGUACACCUAAACUUAAUACCAAGUGAUGACACUCUUUUUCUAAAAAAAAAUUCUUUUUAGACUGUCAUUUUAGGUUCAAACUGUUGCAUUUUUUAAGUCCUAUUUUUGGCCCUCUUUCUUUAUUUUCUAAAAUUAAAAAGUCACAUUUUUUAACACCUUUCCUUUUAUUUCAACAAUGGGAUCCGACACAUUUCAGAGUCAAUCCUUAGGAGCUGCUUGGUUAAAGGGUUUGAGAAUCACAGAAUGAAAUAAAUCCCUUAUUUGUUGCUUGGGUUAAGUCUAUUGGAAUGCAAUUUUUGGAAUCAUUUCUAAAAAAUGGGACUUAUCCCAUUCCCGAACAAAUUGUGAGGUUUUGGACAAAACCCUCAACUCAUUCCCUCGUACAACAUUUUUGACGGACAUACCCAUCACAUACAAAACUCCUCUACCCUCUCUUUCUCUCCACACGUCGCUCUUUCUGUUAUUCUUCUUCAUCAGUUUUACUAUCUCUUCUGCUUCAUCAUAUAGUCUUCAUCUAUAAUCCAAAAUCUCUUGAAAAAAACAGAUCUAAAGUAUAUCUAAAUGGAUUAAUAGUGGGCAAAUAUCUUCAGUGGACAAAUUGUUCAACAAGAUUUUCACAAGAAAGAUCUCUAAGAAAAAUUGAAGAAAACCCUCAAUCUCGGCAUCGGUGAUGUGUUGAUUUGAACUGUCGUGGCUCUGGAAUUAUGGAUGAAUUCCUAGAAUUGGAGUGAAAAGGAUCAGUUCUGAUUAGUUGGUUUUUUGUAUUGAUUAUGAUGACGAGAUAGUACGUCAGGAUUAAAGAUUGAAUCUUAUGGCAUUGUAAGCGUUUGAGAUUUUUUGGACUGCAUUUGAAUUCUCUGGGAUGCAAUUGUGUGGCUUUGGUUGUCAUUGAUUUGGUUCUUAGAGCCGUCCUAAUCUCUCCUUUCGCUGGUUUUGGAAGGAUAGAACAGAACAAGCUGGUAUUUUUCCGUAACAAUUCUUUGCCACAAAAUCUGCAAUUACAAAUUGGAAACCCAAAUCCAAGACUUUGUAGGCUUUGUGAUUUAACAUUAUUCUGAUUUUAUCCAACUAAUAAAUUAGCUUAUGGAAAAAUGGAAAAAUGGAUAAUUUAUGGAGGAAAGCCAUAAAGAGUUGGUGUUUUAUUGGAAAACGAGUUUAUUUUUAUUUUAUCCGAUAAAUAAAUUUGUUUAUGGGAAAAUGGGUACUUUGUUCUUAUUAUGGAGAAAAGGCAUAAAGAGCUGGUAUUUUAUUGGAAAACGAGUUUAUUUUUAUUUUAUCCGAUAAAUAAAUUUGUUUAUGGGAAAAUGGGUACUCUGUUCUUAUAAUAGAUAAAAAUUAUAAAGAACUGGUCUUUUAUGGGAAAGUGAUACUUUAAUAAUACUUUAUGGGCCAUUUCUUUUUUUAAAAAUAUUUAAUUUAUCUUAAAUAGAUAACCUAUUAAUUCCCUUUUUGUAAGCAUAUUACUAUAACAUUUUUUCAAUUUUACUUACAAACAUUGAUAUAUUUAUCAUAAAUUAAAUGUUUGAAAGUAAAAUCUCCAUAAAGAGCCGGUACUUUAAAUGUUUUAUAAGAAUUAUUAUAUCAGGAGUAAAUAUGAAAUUUAAUUACAUUUAAUUUCGAAAUACUCAUCAAAUCAAGCAUCAGGAAUUGGAAUGAUGCUAAUUCUAAUGUGUGAACUAAGCUAAAUAUUGGAAUAAAAAGUUUAAUUUCAAAACCAGAGUCUAUGAUUCCAUUUCCAUUUCCGAUUUCAAUCUGUGAAACAAGCACCCCCUUAGUUUGUUCAAAGAACUUAGUAGGAAUAAGUUCUUCGUAGAUGCAACUAAGGUCAGCUUCAGGAUCAAAGAGGGCUUCUGUUUCAAGGAUUUAAUCAUCAUAGAUAAUUAGUUUGAUUUGGACCAGGAAUUUUUAGUAAAAAUUCUAGACAAUUGGUUUAGGAAUUCUGUAUCAUCUUGUAUGAUUGAGUUUUUUGGUAUGGUUUCAAAGGAUUUUGGUUGUGAGGUAGCAAAGUUUUAUAAGACAAGGUUAUCUAAAUUUUGUUUUGCUUUAAUUGCUCUAAUUUCUCUUUGAGAAGAGCAAUUUCAAGCUAAAGGUCGUGGAUUGAUAUUGGUUUUGUUGGUUUGGAUGGGAAUUGGUUAAGAAUGUCUGUAAGGUUAUAGUUGUUAAGAAGUACGGGCUUUCUGGCUAAUGGGUCUGACGAAAUGUUCGAAGGAAUACUUGGUGAUUUGUUUAGGGAUUUUUUGAAUUUAUUGAGAUAAAACUGUAUCUUUUCAGGGUCAAGAAAGGUUUCUACGAUGUCGAGGAGAAGGUUCUGUUCCUUUGUCAAGAUGUUUACAGUUGCUUGUCCUUAUUUUUUCAUCUUCAUCACUACUGAUAGUAGACAAAGAAGAAACAUCAUCAUUCUCAAGUUGGUUUGCAUAGUUUUCUUCUUCACGUUCUAAAUCAUCAUUGUCGGCUUCUACAAAGAGGUUGGUUAAUUGGUUCAGUACUUGUUUGUCAAGACCAAGGGUGCUGAUUCUUUUGUUUAGUUUGCAAUAUCUGGUUAUAUAUCCAGGUUGUUUGCAUCUAUGGCAGACAAUUGCUGGUAAGACUAGGGAGUUUUGGAUAGAAGUUGGGUUAGGAUUUUCUGGGGGAGGUAAUGGUUUUCUAGGUUUAAAAGGUAGGGUUUUUCUUUUUUGUUGAGAAGGUUUUGAUGAGGUUUUACAUUUUCUUGUGGUUUUUGUAUGAUAGUUGGAUAGGCCAAACUGUCCACAGAAAGAACCAAAAUCCUUUGUUCUUUGUGCUUGGUCUUUUGCACAUUGUCUGAGCAUCUUGUCUGACCUGCAAAUUUUUAGAGCAACUCGUUGGACUUGACUAGUUAGUUAUCCGUAGGUAAUUGUUUCCCAUGGUACAACACCAUCAUAUUGGUUUCAUAUUUCUUCUCGGACAAGGGCUCUUAAUGAUUUGGGAAGGCCCUCUAAGAGCUUUCUUUUCAAUAUGCUUCAUGACUAUCUGAUCUUGAGUAUAUACGGGUCAGGAAAGUGUCUUUAUACCAUUGAAAAUCUAAAAGAUUCCUGCAUUGAGAUUGUUGAGUAAUUCUAAGGACUUGUCUAUGAAUAUCCCUGGAUCACCAAUGAAUAUUUUUGCGAUUGUGAAUAUUAGGGUUGCUACUACAUUUGAGAUAGUUUCAGCAACCUGUAGGAUUGAUUCUCCAUCUGCAUCUAGUUUGAUUACAUUUAGAAUUUUCUCUUUGUCUUCUGAAGUGAGAUAUACAUCCCACCAUCCUUUGAGCUGUCCUAUAAAUCCUGUAAUGAGACAUGAGUUCGGUAUGCUUCGUUCAUGAAGAGGCUUUUGAUUUAGUAAGAAGGUGUUCUCUUUGGGUUUGUAGAUACUUGUUGGUAUAGUUAUAUUACUCAUAGAGUUCCUAUAUAUCUUGUGCAUCUACUGGACCUCCUUCUUAGGCGACUUUUAGUUUAAAAGGUUUGGCACUAAUUUCUAUGAAUUUGUAUAAGAAAGUAUUGGACCUUGAUGCGUGAAUUUCCCCUUCUAAUGUUUGCCAUUUUUUUUGAAACACACAGUGAUAGCGAGAAUAGGUACUCUAUUUCAUUCCUUAGAGCAUAGAUCUUGGACCAGUCAAAGAAGUGAAUGUGUUGUUUUUUCUUCCUAGGAAACUGUAGAAAGUUUCUUGGAUUACCUUCCUUGGUUCUCCUUUGAAGUUGUCAAAGAACCACUGUCUCUUUGGUUGAUUGUGUUCUGUAUAGAAUUCUUUUCCGAGACUCUCCUUGUUGAUCUGGUAUUCAGAAGUAAAAAACUCUCACUGUUGGCUGUGGAUUGUUUGUCGUGGUUGAAUAUAUACGAGAUACAGGAAGAUCUACUUGGACAGUAUUUUCUUCAGAGGAUUCUCCUUGAUUUUCUGAAGUAGCUUCUGUUUGAAUUGUAUAUCUUGCUUGAGGGAUUUUUGAGGAUAGAUUCAAGUUGUGUAAUCUGGUAGAGAUUGAAGAAGUUGAACGUCUUCCAAUAUUUGAAAUAUCCAUACUGGUAUUGGUUGAGGAAGAGGCCCUAAAGCUCCUCGAUCUAUCAAACUUGAUUUGAACUAUCCUACUAGUGAGUUGUUUGAUACUCGAAACUGUUGUGUUUUGGAUUGAUACAUUGGGAACUAUCUCCGGCAACAUCUAGUCAUCUGGAAGGGAUGCUUCAUCUUAGGUGAUUUUUCUAGGCAUAAAUAUCCUAGAUCUGGUUAGAUCUGUUUGGACUCCUUUUUUUUGUCCGUCUUCAAGACUCCAGUGCUGAACACUGAGCUCAUCACCUUGUGUUGUAUCCUGUAAAUACUAGCAACAGGAAGAGUUCCAAUUUUUGUUUUAUAGUUAGUUGUUUUUAUGUUUAAAGUCUAUGCGUCUAAAAUGUUUCUUCUAUCCUGAAGAGAUAUUUUGAAGUUUAUAAAGCAAUUGAAGUAGAUCGGUCCUCCGUAUAAGCUUGUUUCAACCAUUCCAAACAAGGAGCCGUUGAAAUUUAAGAAUAUGCAAUCUCGUAGACAAAGUCGAGAUAUGUUGAAUCAUUCCCUUGUUAAGGAUUUAAUUACAAUUUGUGCAAGUCCAAAAUGGAUGUAGUUGUAUUUUUGUUGAUGCCUUUCAAUGGAUUUUUUUUUUUCUUAUAAGAGUUCGAUUUUUUCAUGCUCAGCAUUUAGAGCAAUAGUUUGUUCAACUAAUCAUAUCUGAUUUUCCAUUGUUUACUAUUUUGAUAUAUUUCAUGCUCUUGAUACCUAAGAAUUUCCUAGUUAUUAAUUUCGUGAUUAAUGUCUCGUAUGUUUAUUUCUUCUUUUAAACAAGUAUUUGAACAAGAGAUAUUUGAAGAAAUAAAAUUUUUAAAACUAGAUCUAAAGAAAGAAGCCAUUAAUAACAAAAUUAAAUAAGUAAAUGAUAAAAUCGAAGAUAAAUAAGUAAAUCAACAAAAAAUACUAAGACGAAAGAUAUGUAGAGUUUCGCUUCCCCUUGGUACAGAUCCUUCAGAAUCCAUAAGGGACAAACAUAUCAUUUAGACAAAUUAUGACAUAGAUGGUAUGGAUCUAAAAGAUCAGGUCUGACUUUAGAGCCACUUACCACCCUAGGUACUAUCAUUCUUCAAGGACCUAUUUAGGCCUACAGGUCAUAUUGCCAAAUCCCAUUGUCUUACUGUCUAAACCGCCCUCAAAGGCUCUUAAAGUUUGUUGUUCGGGCGGCAAGAUCUGAACUCGUAGAUACAUACUAGCAAUAUCAUAACAACCUAAGCAACACAUUCAUCACUCCACUUCCCCCUCUGACUCUGAUACCGGAGGAGGAAGUCCCUCGACAUACUAGCAGAUCUUGUUAUGAUACUCUUUGAUAGGGGUAUACGAAAUGGUGACCAGCAUUCACAACAGGCUUUAUUCAACCAGCAAACAUUCAAGCAUGGCAUCAGAAAAACCCAAAAUCAAUCAAAUCAGGAGAUCUAUAAACAAGCCAGUUUGCAACAGAAGUCAAUUACAACAGCAAAACUAUCUCAAUCAUGGAUAAACAAGAAUUUGUCCAGCAAUUGACAAAUUCUCUCUCAACUCCAAUCAAAAGGAAAACCACAAGUAUCUAAACAAGAACCAAAGUCCUCAAGCUCAGAAGAAAGUUUUGAUAGACUACAACAAAAUGAAGAUGAUUGUUAUGGGAUUUUCUCACAAAUUCCAUAAAUUUUACAAAAAUAAACAAUGUAGGAAUUCAUUGUAGUACCAGAAAAUACUGUAGCAAUUUGGCAAGUUACUAUGUAAAUACGGCAGAAAAAAUUGCACUAGACAUUGUAGUAUGCACUGUAGUAGUACUGUACACUGCAAUAAGUACUGUAGCCGAAUGAAAAUUUUGCUCUAAAUACCCUUCAAACUCACCAUUCUAAACACACUUUCUUCAGCUCACUUCUCUCUCUAAGUCGAAUAAAUCCUCCUCCUCCUCUCGAGAAUACAAACAACUUACCCGAAUAUUCUUAUAGAAGACAAACCAAACAUCCUCCAAAACUCUUACAAUGCAAACAAUGUCUAUGAAUGGAUCAUAGAUGGAGUUUCUGAAUAUAACAUACUUGACAUAUAAUAAGGCAGGAAAAUCUGCUAUGGAAGCCUCUUGCAUUCUUCAUUGUAUAUGGGUAACCUUGAAAUACAACAUGGUGAGAAAAAUCUGUCACAAAGCCUCUUGCAUACUUCACCAUGCAUGGGGGUUAAUGUUUAUGACAGAUCGACGACUAUUUCCAUCUGGACAAACUAAAACACUUAAUGAAGAACUAUUUAAUCAGUUCUAAACUUCCACACCCUAAUGCAUUUAUCAUUAUUCAUUGUAACAACUUUCUGCAUCCCAACAGCUAAGCACGUGAUAGGUGGUCUAGGAGCUAUAGGCAGACGAUCAACCUGAACAUCUUCAGAGAGCCUUCUCACCUUCUUUGUUUCAAUGAUUUGAUGAUGCCUGUCUUUUGAUCGACUUGAUACACCAGUAGCAUCGUCAACAAUGCAUCUUGAGAGUACUUGACCUGUAUCCUGGUCCAGAAUUCUUAUGAUACCAUCUAUACCACCAAUGACUAAUGUUGAUGUGUCAUUCCUCAGGUGAUUUAUCGAAUAAAGAACGU